rnacentral:rRNA from 1 species
AGAGUUUGAUCCUGGCUCAGGAUGAACGCUAGCUACAGGCUUAACACAUGCAAGUCGAGGGGAAACGACAUCGAAAGCUUGCUUUUGAUGGGCGUCGACCGGCGCACGGGUGAGUAACGCGUAUCCAACCUGCCCAUCACUUGGGGAUAACCUUGCGAAAGUAAGACUAAUACCCAAUGAUAUCUCUAGAAGACAUCUGAAAGAGAUUAAAGAUUUAUCGGUGAUGGAUGGGGAUGCGUCUGAUUAGCUUGUUGGCGGGGUAACGGCCCACCAAGGCUACGAUCAGUAGGGGUUCUGGAGAGGAAGGUCCCCCACAUUGGAACUGAGGACACGGUCCAAACUCCUACGGGAGGCA